rnacentral:lncRNA from 1 species
AAUUGUUUGUUUCACUGCAGUUAAACUUGUUAUCUAUUAUAUUCUAUCAAUUUAACACUGUUGAAAGCUAACGAUAAUUUAUUAUGCAUUAUCUUAGUCAUAAUAUUCUUUACUGGGCUAGUUGAGCUCACCAUUUGCUUUCAUUGUUCUAUUCAUGAAAUGAGAAUAUAACAGGGACUAGUCGGGGAAUGAAGUGACGGUCCAAGAUAGUGG